rnacentral:lncRNA from 1 species
AUGGAGGACGGGGCAUGGGGUCUGGGGAAGUUAGCAAGGGAUCUCAGGCUGGGCUGUGCACCAGUCCCCUUCCUCCCUGCACUGUUCCCGGCACUGACCUGGGCCUAUCCUUGCUGUCUCUUGCUCCUUCUGAUCCUCGCCACGAGUGCGCCGCCGCCACACUUGGUUCGGCAGACCCCCCUGCACCCCCACUCCAGGGGGCCACUAUUUCUGUUCCCAGGAAAGCCGGGAUGUGGAGAGGGCUUGCUGGGACUCGUCGCGCUAAAUCCCUGUGCCGGCCUCUGGGGUUGGCUGGCAGCUGCCUCCCUGGCGUCAGCGCGUGGCCCUGGGGCCCUUACCUGCUCCGCUUGCUGCGGGCCUGAUGCCAACCCGCCGUGCGCAGGGGAGUGGGGAGCUGGUACCCAGACAGGAGUGACGACUGCACCGAAGGCUGCGUCGCUCUGCAGCUCGCGAUCACGUGAGCACCCCACGUCACCGCCGAGCUCGCCCCAACUCCGGCGGCCAGUGCAGC